CAUCCAUCAUUGUCAAACAAGUAGGCGAAUUAAGGAAACAAGUUAUAAGCACUAGCUUAAAGUAAUAAUCCAAUUUCCUUUCCAUAAGGAGUUUUCUGGUUUCAUAUAUAUGCAUAUUUAUGGUAAGAAAAUAAAACCAUUAUUGGUUUUAUACAAUAAUAAUUCUUCAAACAUCAUGUACUUAGAACAAUUUUAGACUUUGCAGUAGGUCGAUUCUCCAUAAAUGUACUCAAGAACUGCGAUGACUCCAAAAACAAAGGUUUGAUCCAUCCAGGUUUCACCACCACAUUACACAAAACCUUGCUUUCCAUCAAUAUCUCCACUUCUUUAUUCACCCCAACCUAUAUAUAAAUGGACCAAACACAUAUUUAUUAUUGUCAUGUUAUAUAUAAUUUACAGAAAAAACCUUAAAACUUGAAAGAUAGCGUACCUGGGCAAUUACUGGGCAAUAUCAGCUACAGCCUCUACUUCUCCCACUGUUUCACCAGUUAGCUGCAAAAGGAACAUUGCAUAAGGGAUGGAGCAGUUUAUAAGAUCAACAAUGUAAAGAAAAGUAAAGAGAAAAGGAGCAACUAAGCAAUUAUGAGAGUUGAAGGGUUGUUUAUUUCAUGCUUUACCUAGCUCUACAGACAUCGAUAAUUUAUAAUCCAAGGGAUUGAAACUAAAAACCAAAAAUAAAACCAACAGAAAAAAAAAUUCUAGCCAAUGAAAGAAAACCUGCAGAGGGAAAAGAUGCUGAGAAAGAUAUCACUUGCAAAAGAAAAAUACAGAGAUACCUAAACCUUGGCCAAAAAAACUUUGAACAGAAUUGAGAUACACUAGGCUUUGAAAUUGGCAAUAAACAUAUAUGAAGACCUUACUGAAAACAAAAGAAACUACAAAACAUAGAAAAUAUAAACUGUGGAGAAUGGGGAUACAUAACUAAAAUAUAUAAUAGAACCAAUGAGGAAAAUGGAGAAAGAAAAUAAAAGAGUAGAACCUGUUUGAUUCAAAUCUAGAAAGGUUAUAUAGAAUGCAGUACUUUCCAUGUAAGCUAAUAUCAUCCAUGUAGAAUGCAGUACUUUCCAUGAUGAGGAAAUUGUACCCAAAAUGCAUUAUUACUUUACACCAAAUUAACUAGGCACAAGGUAGCAAACCUAACAUCCCUAUGUAGCUAACAAUCAAAACAAAAAACUACACCCUAAAAAUGAUGCAGUAGGACUUGCGGUAGCUUCAAAGAACCAACUACACCAACAACUUCUAAAGCAAAAUAAAAGCUAUACUAAUCCAAAAACACUACAACACUACAACCAAACUAUCUAAAUGUAAAAUGCAGCAACCAAAUGAAAAGAGAUAACUUACUAUACCCACACCCUUUCACCAAAAAAACCAGCGAAACCCAAAAAAAAAAAAAGAUGUUGCAGUAAUACCAGUAGGUUUGGGACUCCACAUACUGCCAUUUUUUUCUUCCUUUUUCACUAAUACCAGUUGGGAGAAAUAUUUCUUAGGUUCUCAAUAGCCCAGUGGGUGACACAUUUAAUGUUUUGAAUAAUAUUAGACAUAUAUUGUUCAGAACUAGUUUCCAACAAUUUAAAUUAACUUAGGCAAUAUAUAUAGUCCUAAUCAAAUGUGAAUAAAAUGGUUAUUACAAGUUCCAAACACUUAGGCUUGAAAAUAUUUAGCAGUGGUAAAAUAUAUAGUACCACAAACAAGAAUUAUCCACUUUUUCUUGUUGACCUAGAAAAUUUGAAGACAAAUACAAAGGACAGUAGGCACAUCAAGGUGAAUAUUUAACAAAAUAAAAAUAUUUUAAAAAUUAAUUAUUUACCUAGAACCAACACCUAGUUCCAAUAGCAAUAAAAUCACCAAGACACACUUGAGUUGCAUAAGCCAUAGC
rnacentral:lncRNA from 1 species